UAAGAGCCAGACAAGAGGCUGCCUGAGAGGCUGUAUGAGAGGCUGGCUGCCUCAGAGGUUGACUGGUUGAAAGGCUGGCUUAGAGGCAGGCUGAGAGGAUGGCUGGAUUAGAGGCUUGCUGAGAUGCUGACUGGUACUAUCAAAAUGUAAGAACAGAAAUGGACAUAAACUGACUAGAAGUACUGAGAAAAGAGUAGAAACGGCUGGGCACAGUCCAUUUGAAAAAAUGUGGUUGAUCCUACAACACGCUUUUCUAAGAAUGACGGCAACGGAUACCACCCCUACAAUGGCAGAAAUGAACUGAGUUUCUACACAGUCUGACCCCAUUGGGGUCAGAUGUUUUGCUACUUCACAUGUCUUGGUCACUGAUAAAUCUUAAGGUAUUUUGUUUUCUCUUGUGUGAAUUCUCUCUUUCUCUAAAUAUGUCUUCUGACCAUUUGUUUGUAUUUCUGUGUUAACUGGGUCUAAACAUUGUACAAAAGUUAAAAACAAAAUACUCCAGUGGAAGUUUCCCAUGUGGCUGGUGUUCAGUUUCUGAACUCACUUGUAGGUGUGAAUUUUUUCCAUAACCCAUUUCCCUUUUUCCUCCACCUCUGACAGCUGCCUCUCUUUUUCUGCUCACUCACAUUCUUUCAUUCUCAGCUUCCUGAGAUGAAAACGGAGAGAAAUGCACACACAUGAUCCACUUGCCCAUGUGGGAUUCUUUCUGCCAUUCUGGCAUCUGAAGGCCAUGAUUCAAAGGUCCCCCACUGCCUUCCCAUACAUGAAACAACUGAUAUUCAACACUGGGGAGGAAGAAUUGACACCUCCCAUUGACAGACAGAAAGAAUUUAAAAAAAAAAACAACACUCUGGCCUGUUAGCAAGUCACCUGUAAUUUCCAGCUCGUCUUUGUGUCUCCAUAGUCCUAUUCUUAAGUAAAUAAGGACCAUUAGAAGCUUCUAUGAGAUGUGCUAUGUGUACUUCUGGGGUCAGUCUUGUGCUUGACACACUGAAAGCUCAUUUUAGUUCACUGUGGAAAAUCAGAUCUCACCAACUCAUCACAACUAACUCCAUCAAGAUGGAGCAGGGGAUCACUCUUCAUCUGACUCCUCCCAUAGGAAGACCUGAUUCUCAUUUACAGGCUGAUGCCAGAACCCAGACAAUUAGCCUUUGAGAGAUCCUUCCAGGACAUGAUGUCCUUAACCCUGCAGUUCACUACAGCAUGUUUCCAUGACUCAGGACUGGAACUCUUGUCAUUGACCUGAAGGCAAGAAACUGUUCUCCUUUCCAGGGCAAACUCAUUUCCAUACUAUGGGGACUCCAACAGACAGCAUAACUUCCUGGCUCUGCUUGUUGGACCUCCAAGCUCUCUGCUGCAGAUCUGUGGAUCCAUCAUUUACAUUUCAUGACUUUGAGACAGACUUGGGAAAAGACAUCUAGGAAAUAACUGAAAAAUGACAUGAGAAUACCUCACACCUGAACUGUACACUUCAACAUUGUUAAGACGGCAAUGGUCAUGUUAUAAAUGUUUUAUUAUGAAUAUUUUACCACAGGUUAAAAUGUUUAACAAUUUGAAAAGGAAGUAAUUAUCUUCAGUUCUCUAAGUUCUAGAAUUUGUAACAUUUCACCCCCUGCUCCUUCCCGAUCCGGAGCAGAGCAUCUUAUUCUUUCCCUGCUCUACUCAGGAUUCACUUUCCCUUAUGUAACAAAAACAUUGCAAAUAUUUUUUAAAAUAAUUACAAAACUUUACCUAGAAAUCUGUAAUUCAAAUU
rnacentral:lncRNA from 1 species